GACGAACGCUGGCGGUGUGCCUCACACAUGCAAGUCGAGCGGACGAAGAUUGAAGCUUGCUUCAGUCCAAGUUAGCGGCGGACGGGUGAGUAACACGUAGGAAUCUGCCUUCAGGCGGGGGACAACGGAACGAAAGUUGCGCUAAUACCCCAUAUGCGAGUAAUCGUAAAAGGAGCAAUCCACCGGAAGAUGAGCCUGCGUCCGAUUAGCUAGUUGGUAGGGUAAAAGCCUACCAAGGCUACGAUCGGUAGUUGGUCUGAGAGGAUGAUCAGCCACAAUGGAACUGAGACACGGUCCAUACUCCUACGGGAGGCAGCAGUGGGGAAUAUUGGACAAUGGGGGCAACCCUGAUCCAGCCAUGCCGCGUGUGUGAAGAAGGCCUUCGGUUGUAAGCGACUUUGUUGGGUAGAACGG
rnacentral:rRNA from 1 species